rnacentral:rRNA from 1 species
ACGAACGCUGGCGGCGUGGAUAAGACAUGCAAGUCGAACGGGAGAAUUGCUAGCUUGCUAAUAAUUCUCUAGUGGCGCACGGGUGAGUAACACGUGAGUAACCUGCCUCUUAGUGGGGGAUAGCCCUGGGAAACCGGGAUUAAUACCGCAUACGAUUGAAAGAUCAAAGCAGCAAUGCGCUAGGAGAUGGGCUCGCGGCCUAUUAGUUAGUUGGUGAGGUAACGGCUCACCAAGGCGAUGACGGGUAGCCGGUCUGAGAGGAUGUCCGGCCACACUGGAACUGAGACACGGUCCAGACACCUACGGGUGGCAGCAGUCGAGAAUCAUUCACAAUGGGGGCAACCCUGAUGGUGCGACGCCGCGUGGGGGAAUGAAGGUCUUCGGAUUGUAAACCCCUGUCAUGUGGGAGCAAAUUAAAAAGAUAGUACCACAAGAGGAAGAGACGGCUAACUCUGUGCCAGCAGCCGCGGUAAUACAGAGGUCUCAAGCGUUGUUCGGAAUCACUGGGCGUAAAGCGUGCGUAGGCUGUUUCGUAAGUCGUGUGUGAAAGGCAGGGGCUCAACCCCUGGAUUGCACAUGAUACUGCGAGACUAGAGUAAUGGAGGGGGAACCAGAAUUCUCGGUGUAGCAGUGAAAUGCGUAGAUAUCGAGAGGAACACUCGUGGCGAAGGCGGGUUCCUGGACAUUAACUGACGCUGAGGCACGAAGGCCAGGGGAGCGAAAGGGAUUAGAUACCCCUGUAGUCCUGGCAGUAAACGGUGCACGCUUGGUGUGCGGGGAAUCGACCCCCUGCGUGCCGGAGCUAACGCGUUAAGCGUGCCGCCUGGGGAGUACGGUCGCAAGAUUAAAACUCAAAGAAAUUGACGGGGACCCGCACAAGCGGUGGAGUAUGUGGCUUAAUUCGAUGCAACGCGAAGAACCUUACCUGGGCUUGACAUGUAAUGAACAACAUGUGAAAGCAUGCGACUCUUCGGAGGCGUUACACAGGUGCUGCAUGGCCGUCGUCAGCUCGUGUCGUGAGAUGUUUGGUUAAGUCCAGCAACGAGCGCAACCCCUGUUGCCAGUUACCAGCACGUCAAGGUGGGGACUCUGGCGAGACUGCCCAGAUCAACUGGGAGGAAGGUGGGGACGACGUCAGGUCAGUAUGGCCCUUAUGCCCAGGGCUGCACACGUACUACAAUGCCCAGUACAGAGGGGGCCGAAGCCGCGAGGCGGAGGAAAUCCUGAAAACUGGGCCCAGUUCGGACUGUAGGCUGCAACCCGCCUACACGAAGCCGGAAUCGCUAGUAAUGGCGCAUCAGCUACGGCGCCGUGAAUACGUUCCCGGGUCUUGUACACACCGCCCGUCACAUCAUGGAAGCCGGUCGCACCCGAAGUAUCUGAAGCCAACCGCAAGGAGGCAGGGUCCUAAGGUGAGACUGGUAACUGGGAUG